UACGUAGGGGGCAAGCGUUGUCCGGAAUCAUUGGGCGUAAAGAGCGUGUAGGCGGCCAGAUAAGUCCGCUGUGAAAUCUCGAGGCUCAACUUCGAGCUGUCGGUGGAAACUGUCUGGCUAGAGUCCGGAAGAGGAGAAUGGAAUUCCCGGUGUAGCGGUGAAAUGCGCAGAUAUCAGGAAGAACACCCGUGGCUAAGGCGGCUCUCUAGUACGGUACUGACGCUGAGACGCGAAAGCGUGGGGAGCGAACAGG
rnacentral:rRNA from 1 species